GGAGGAGUGGACAAUGGUCGUCAGGCUGUCUCGAAAACAGUUGCUCCGUUUAGGAGUUGCAGGUUCGAAUCCUGUCUCCUCCG
rnacentral:tRNA from 1 species